GUCUCCUUAGCCUAUUAAGAUGGUUAACAGGCACAAUCAAGCUAUCUCUAGGCAACAGGUUCAACAACAGAGUUAAUUCACUCUCAUGAUAGAAAUUCUCAAGCAAAGCUAGCCCAGACUAAUUCCCAUUAACGGAAUCUAACUAUGCAGGCAAUAAGAACCAACUGUUAAAGUCAAUGAACGCUCUAAACGGCCAAUCCAUUGGGAUAGAGACGAAUAUCUCAGGAACUAGUGGAUCAAGCAUUCCAUCGAACACCUUCUGGGUGCGGGAAUGCUUCGGAUAGAAUUCAUGUUGAUUAGACUUAAGCAAAAAACUGGAUGUAAACUGGAUGUCUCAAGAAACCCUCAAAGACCUCUUUAUACAAAAAGAAUUAAAAUGAUAGAAGAUCGGCCGGGAACACAAUCGACCGGUCCAUAGAGUGAUAACGGGCCAAGUUGGGCCUUGCGAUCGAGUAAAGCUCUGGACCGCAUCCAAACACUUCUUCUUCUCCUCUUCUCUUCCUUAUGCUCAGCUUGUCUGGUUGAGUGCGGAUUUGAGAAGACUUUGAAGAUGCGAUUGAGUGCUUGGUCGAGUGAUGAUACUGGGUGGUGACUGAUGACACUCGACCAGGGGGUCAAGUGUGGUGAUCGAGUGGUGGUCAGGUGGUGUGAAAAAGUGUUACUCGACCAGGUGGUCGAGUGGUGUCAUCGAGUGGGCUAGACUGUGGUUACUCGACCAUGGGGUCGAGUAUAUUGUAAGAACGACUUAUAUGUUACUCGACCUAGGGGUCGAGUAUUGUGAUGCAUGUACUCGACCACGGGGUCAAGUAUGUGGCUUCUGAUUCCGGCUCGCUUCUUCCAAUUUGCUCGCCAACAGCUCCACAUCACGUAAAAACAACUCUGAAAUGCAAUAUGUAUGCAAAGCUAUCCUAAUCUUGCAAAGUAUGCAAGAAUGAUGAAAAAUGAUAUGAAAUAGUGAUGAAUGCUAUGAAACUAGACUCAACACGACGAUGAAUGAAUGCAGAAAACAUGCAAAUUAUUGACAUAUCAGUCAUCGUUGGUUGUAUAAUUUUGUUCCUUGUCCAAAAUCAUUCAUUAUCAGAGUUGAGUGCGUGACCAUGAGCUUAUCUAAGCGAUUGGAUUUAUGUAGUUGUUUGUUGUGAUAUCUAGGCAGGAUUUUUAUAGAUCCAUAUUUAUUUCUUGGGAUGGUUGUGUAAGUGA
rnacentral:sRNA from 1 species